GCGUGUGCCAGGCGUGUGCUAGUGCUUCGUCUGCCCACACCACUCUGUGAGGUGGGCGUGGCCGUUUCCCUCACUUCAGAGAGGUCAAGAAAUUUGCCCAGAGCCACACAGCUAAUAAAUGCCAGAAGCAAGAUUUGAACCUAAGGCCAGUUGGCUCCAGAGUUCUCCCUCUAUCCAUCAGAUUCUACCCUACUCCCUCCAAGGAGCCCUCCCCGGUAGCCCCAGGUCAGGGCUCUUUCUGUCAGCAGAACAGCCGAUAGAAGUUAGCUGUCUACACCCUGGGUACAUCUCAUCUCUUAUCUCGUUACUCAGGUACCACCAGGAGCCCUGGCAUCAUCAGAAUCUUAUUAGAAAUGUAGAAUCUCAGGCCCCUCCCCAGACCUGCAGAGUGAAAUCUGUUUUUUAAAAGAUCCCUGGUGAAUUGGACACGCAAUAAAGUUUGAGGACGCUAACAUCUGGUUAAAAGUCUGCUAUUGCCACUGUGUGGGAACCUGUCUUUGGGAAGCUGCACCUCCUUCAUCGGAUUGGCAAGAGCUGAGCCUUCUCCAUCAGACCAGCUAUGCUUCCAGAGCAGAGGCUGUGCUUCUGGGAUCUUCCCGAGGACAGGGAUUGAUCCUCCCCAAUCAAACUGGGAAUCUGGCAGAAGCAGAGGUGGUUCUUGGUCGCAGGCCGGAAGCUCGCCUGAAGCUUGUGGUGCCACCCCCGUCUGACUGGCAGUCCCCAGGAUCCCCUGUGAAACUUGGCUGGCUUUGGGGUCGAGAGCCACCUGCAAGGAGAGGUAUCUGUUCGCGUUUUCCAAGAGGAUGGAGAAGCCAGAGCGGAGACUCUAAAUCCCUGUGUCACGAUGGUGGGUGUCAUGACCAUCUCCUACAGCCUGACUCCCCUUUCUUUGUUAAUAAAACUCCAGUCUUCGUGGGAGACUAUCUUUCUGAAGAGGUCAGUCUUGACCAGACUAAGCCAAUCACAAUAAUGCCUUUCUCCUGGCAGAGAUGGGCCUGUGUUGCGAUUCUGGCCAGUGAAGCAUGAGAAAAAAUCAGGGAAGGGGCCCUCCUUGGCUUAAAAUGAGGCUCAAGGUAAGGAUUAUGAAACUGAAUAAAGGAAACCUCAUUUAAAGUGGAAUUUGGAGG
rnacentral:lncRNA from 1 species